UUUUUUAAGUAUUUAUCACUUCAUUUUAAUCAUGAUUCCAAACAUUUAUCAUUUAAAGCAUUCAUGAUACACAUCAUACAUUAUCAUAAUAAAAAGCAUAUGCAUCAUUCCAAAUCAUAAAUAUUUCAAAUCAUCAUGGUAUUAAUUUGUCACAUUGCAUCCUACCAUGCAUGAUCGAAACUUCUCAUUUGCAUACAUCAAAAU
rnacentral:lncRNA from 1 species